GCAUGGUGGUUCAGUGGUAGAAUUCUCACCUUCCAUGCGGGAGGCCUGGGUUUGAUCCCUAGCCAAUGUA
rnacentral:tRNA from 1 species